rnacentral:rRNA from 1 species
GACGAACGCUUGCGGCGUGCCUAAGAAAUGCAAGUCGAACGGAGUGGAGCAAUCCACUUAGUGGCGAACGGUCGCGUAACACGUAAGCAACCUGCCCGGAAGUUGGGGAUAACAGAUCGAAAGGUCUGCUAAUACCGAAUGUGGAUCGCUGACGGCAUCGUCAGUUAUCUAAAGCUUGAUGUGCUUCUGGAUGGGCUUGCGGCCUAUCAGUUAGUUGGUGGGGUAAUGGCCUACCAAGACGUUGACGGGUAGCUGGUCUGAGAGGACGGCCAGCCGGAUUGGGACUGAGAUACGGCCCAGACUCCUACGGGGGGCAGCAAUUAGGAAUCUUGCACAAUGGGGGAAACCCUGAUGCGGCGACGUCGCGUGGAGGAUGACGGCCCUUGGGUUGUAAACUCCUUUUGCCAGGGAAGAAAAAAAUGACGGUACCUGGUGAAUAAGCCCCGGCUAACUACGUGCCAGCAGCCGCGGUAAUACGUAGGGGGCGAGCGUUGUCCGAAGUUACUGGGCGUAAAGCGCGCGUAGCGGCUUCUUAAGUUUGGGGUGAAAGGUUCAGCGCUCAACGUGAACAGUGCCUUGAAUACUGGGGAGCUUGAAUGUGACAGAGGGUCGUGGAAUUUCCGGUGUAGCGGUGAAAUGCGUAGAUAUCGGAAGGAACACCAAUGGCGAAGGCAGCGACCUGGGUUAACAUUGACGCUGAGGUGCGAAAGCGUGGGGAGCGAACGGGAUUAGAUACCCCGGUAGUCCACGCCGUAAACGAUGAAUGCUAGGUGUAGGCGGUAUCGACCCCGCCUGUGCCGCCGCUAACGCAAUAAGCAUUCCGCCUGGGGAGUACGGCCGCAAGGUUGAAACUCAAAGGAAUUGACGGGGGCCCGCACAAGCGGUGGAGCAUGUGGAUUAAUUCGUCACUAACCGAAGAACCUUACCCAGAUUUGACAUCGCGUGUAACCUGGUGAAAGCCAGGCCUCCCGCAAGGGACACAAAGACAGGUGUUGCAUGGCUGUCGUCAGCUCGUGUCGUGAGAUGUUGGGUUAAGUCCCGCAACGAGCGCAACCCCCACCGUAUGUUGGCAGCGUCAAGUCGGCCACUCUUACGGAACUGCCUGUGCAAGCAGGAGGAAGGUGGGGACGACGUCAAGUCGGCAUGGCCCUUACAUCUGGGGCUUCACACAUGCUACAAUGGGCAGCACAAAGCGUACCGAGACCGCGAGGUUGUGGCAAUCGCAAAAAUCUGUCCUCAGUUCGGAUUGUAGGCUGCAACUCGCCUACAUGAAGCUGGAAUCGCUAGUAACCGCAGGUCAGAUAAACUGCGGUGAAUACGUUCCCGGGCCU